UGGGGAAUUUUGGACAAUGGGCGAAAGCCUGAUCCAGCAAUGCCGCGUGUGUGAAGAAGGCCUUCGGGUUGUAAAGCACUUUUGUCCGGAAAGAAAUGGCUCUGGUUAAUACCUGGGGUCGAUGACGGUACCGGAAGAAUAAGGACCGGCUAACUACGUGCCAGCAGCCGCGGUAAUACGUAGGGUCCAAGCGUUAAUCGGAAUUACUGGGCGUAAAGCGUGCGCAGGCGGUUGUGCAAGACCGAUGUGAAAUCCCCGAGCUUAACUUGGAUUGCAUUGGUGACUGCACGGCUAGAGUGUGUCAGAGGGGGGUAGAAUUCCACGUGUAGCAGUGAAAUGCGUAGAGAUGUGGAGGAAUACCGAUGGCGAAGGCAGCCCCCU
rnacentral:rRNA from 1 species